AUGUGACGUUUUCAGUUAGAAGGCGGAUUUAUGGCAGUGUUUUAUGUUUUGUUUUCGUCUUUAUAGAAAAUGCAAAGAAAAUAGUAUGACCAGGAACACAUUAGUAACAAAAAACUUUGAUAUGAUGAACUGAGCAGAAAAACAGAAGAAAUAAAAAACAGUCACAAACUAACUGAGGAAAGUUAGUUUAUGACUUUGUCUUUGACGGUUCUUAACAUUUUGUAACAUUUUGUAAUUGUAACAAAAUGUUACAAUUACAAGACAAAUUUCAAAUCUUAAAUUAAGCUAUUAACAUAUUGGUAUAAAGAUUGGGCUUUUGUGAUUUUAUUUAAUCACUCUCUUAAAUAAAAUCUUAAAUAAAAUUAUUUCACUUUAAUAAGAGGGGUGAUUUAUGGAAAGCAGUUGUGAAUAAAACUUAGCCAGAGAAUUAAAUUGUUAAUAUCACAAUUUAAAUCUUAAUCCCCUGCCAGCAUACCACAUUUUAUUAUAAUAAAAUAUAAUUAUGGAAUAGAUUUUUUGUGUGUGUAAUAUCCGCUUUUGAAAAUCCUUCUAAAACCAUUAAUGAAGUUGCAACAGAAUGAAUGUGUAUUGUCUUAAAAUUGCUGUCACAAAAUACACAGGAAUUGAUAUUUUAUUUAUUUUGAAUUUCUUAUGUAGAAAGUCACUACAGGGAAAAUUUCAUAUAAUUAUGAAGUUUUUUGUAGGAAUGGAGUAGAAAGCUAUUUAGCUCUUAUUUUCUUUAGAGAUAUUAUGAUGAUUUUUAAACAAAUGUUUUCUUCUUAUAGAGGGGACGAAAAUUGAUGUCAGAGUUCCUGAUGAAUGUCUUUUAACAUUUUUGGUCUAUAAAGUCACAACAUUCUUAAUUUCUUUUAAAAAGGACAUUUAAGUUCCAUUAGUUCUUUUGUCUUUCUACAAUGUAGCAUCAUACCUUUUUCCCUAUUUUUUUAUAUAUGCCGUAUGUUUGUCCGCUUGAUCUUUGUUAACACAUUACCUCCACUUUAUAUGAAACUAACUUUUAGAUGCAUCAAAAAUCAUGUCUCUAAUCACAGACUGUUAAAUUGAUUAUUGGUACAUUUUAACGUGUAUUCUAUACCAUCUUGGAAAUAUGGCAAAGUUCAUUAAGCAAGUUGUCUGUUGCAAAAAAGAAGAGAAUAAAAUCACUUUUCAAAAGUAAAGUAUUGAAAUAUUUUUAGUUUCACUCUAUUGAACAUGUGUAAUUACAUAGAAUUUUCCUGUAUUCAACAAGUCAUAACAAAACACAUUUGAACAGCCAAAUAUCUAAAGUGAUGACUUUGGAAAGCAAAAAUACCUUAACUGUACAUUUAAAAUAUUUUAUUGUUGUUGUAGUUGUGUUUUUUGGCAGCACAAAUGCCUAAACAGUGACCAGUCCCGCCAUUUUGGAUGUCGACACAGGGGCGUACUGUCCCAAUUCUCCCAUUUUUGCACGCUUGUAACUUGCGCACUUGAACCCUUAUGUGCUCUUCAACUGAAUCCACACUUCACAGAGGGGCCUAGGGUGCGCACUGAGAAUUGGGACUGGCCCAUGAUUAGCUACAACACACUGGACGUACUGGGAGCCAUGGUAACCAAGCCACGCUAAAUAGGCAUACAACACGCUCAUAAAAGCUCCUUUAAGUUCUUUAAAAGAAGUUUGAAUGUCCCGGAAGGCACUUAAAGUGUUAGCUGAAAUAAAGCUCAGAGCGGUUUCCUGUCCUGGAGUUCAUCUGUCAGUCAAAGAUGACGUUUAUCUCAACAUGUUCUUUAUGGAUCAGUUCCGUCAGUCUCUGUGUGUCCCUGCAGUCUUUCCUUUGUUGUUCCACGAGGAGAUUACAUUUGAAAAGAUUUUUAGGCAUGCAGUUGAUCCUGGAGAAAUAGCUGUACUGCUUGAGUAUGAAACUGUCAGAAUAGAACUGGUGCAACUGAUUCCUCCAGCUGGAGACAUUUUGGCGUUUUUUGAAGAAGAUGCUCGUAGUUUCUUGUUUCCAGAGCCCAAGCUAGUUCCGUCCUUCUCUGGAGUGGACCGAGAAGUACUGAUGACGAGAGCCGCUCACUUCUUUAGUAUUGCUCCUCGGUUAGAGUUUUCUACCAAAACUACAAUUUCUGAGUGCCCACCUGAUACAAAGGUCACCACUUACUGUAACACUCCACUGUGGCCAGGGAAAAGAAGAAACAAGAGGCACGCCACGUCUACUCCUCAUUGGACCGCUGAGGGAGAGAGAAGUGUCAGGAUGGCCUCACCUCUGUCGUACAUUCCCAGAUCCCAGUCCCUGUCUCCACUGAGAGAUGGGUACAUCCCCAGUUUGGCCCUACUCAAUAUGGGCUCUGCGCCUUGCAACCCCACUGACUGGGAGACCACCAGCUCUCAGCCUAUGAUGUCCUCUUGGCUAGGGGCUAGUGUGUCUGCCUCACCCAAAUGCUCUACAAUGUUUACCAGCCGCUCUUCUUCACCUUUGACCAGGUCUUUGUCCACAGUGAGCCAUUCCUCUGCUUCCAGAAGAUUUAUGUCCAGGAGCUUGGCAUUUCUUCUCUCUCCCUCCUGCAAUCAGUUUACCAAUCUGCUUGGUCCUUUGUUUCAGCAUUCAGCCUCCGAGUACUUAAGCUUCUUGCUGGGUCCUUCCAUUGUUACCCCGUUCUGCUCCCCCUUGUGUCUCAUUGUGGUUUCCGGUUUGUGUUCCAUUAGACUGCAUUUUGCAUUGGACUCUGACUUUCUGUGGGAUUUUUGCAAGUUGUUCAUCAUAUUUUCAUUAAAUACUUUUUCUUUAUCAAUUCCACUUCUCUGCCAUUCUGUAUUUGGGUCCUGAACCAGCCACCACCAAUCAUGACAGAGAUGCUGUUUGAAGAUUGUCCAAGGCCUUUGUUCAUACAGUGAUGUAAAUCUAUCUGCAGUUUCUUGUAAAACGGGGAGGAACCGCACAGAAUCUGCAAAUGGAAACAAAUCUGGCUGGGGUCAACCAGGGAAGAACCCAUUAAAGCCACGCCUGCAGAAUUAGGGGCUGUAGUAGUGCUGGCGUCUUAGUAGCAGCUUAAAUUAUCUUUUUAAGUAAUUGUGGAACUUGGAAGAUCUGGAAAGAAGUUGCUAUUUAGUUUUUUAGGUGGUGGAAAAUUAGACUGAGCUUUUGCUUAAUACAUCUCCAGCAGAACAGACACCUGUUCUGUAAUUACAUGAGGGAGCCAGGAAAAAAUGCUGCCUAAACAGCUGAUGACCUCAUGGCAGUAUCCACACUUCAGUGCCUUUGUGAGCCAUCUUUCUUGCUGACAAAAUAUCCUGAAUCUAUUGGAAAGCAGAGGUUUUAUUGAUUCCCACUGCCAUGGACUUAAACUUGGACUUGUUGCAGAGACUGGUCAGAGGAACAUCUGAGUUUGAUUCCAGGUAUUUAGGAGCGCAUGAGUCCUUUGACCCUGUGCCCUUACCACUGCAUCUG